AAACUCAAAGGAAUUGACGGGGCCCCGCACAAGCGGCGGAGCAUGCGGAUUAAUUCGAUGCAACGCGUAGAACCUUACCUGGGUUUGACAUGGAUCGGGAGUGCUCAGAGAUGGGUGUGCCUCUUUUGGGGUCGGUUCACAGGUUGUGCAUGGCUGUCGUCAGCUCGUGUCGUGAGAUGUUGGGUUAAGUCCCGCAACGAGCGCAACCCUUGUUCACUGUUGCCAGCACGUUAUGGUGGGGACUCAGUGGAGACCGCCGGGGUCAACUCGGAGGAAG
rnacentral:rRNA from 1 species